GAUGAACGCUGGCGGCGUGCUUAACACAUGCAAGUCGAACGGUGAAGCUCCAGCUUGCUGGAGUGGAUCAGUGGCGAACGGGUGAGUAACACGUGAGCAACCUGCCCCUGACUCUGGGAUAACAGCCGGAAACGGCUGCUAAUACCGGAUAUGCACCAUGAACGCAUGUUCUGUGGUGGGAAAGAUUUUUCGGUUGGGGAUGGGCUCGCGGCCUAUCAGCUUGUUGGUGAGGUAAUGGCUCACCAAGGCGUCGACGGGUAGCCGGCCUGAGAGGGUGACCGGCCACACUGGGACUGAGACACGGCCCAGACUCCUACGGGAGGCAGCAGUGGGGAAUAUUGCACAAUGGGCGAAAGCCUGAUGCAGCAACGCCGCGUGAGGGAUGACGGCCUUCGGGUUGUAAACCUCUUUUAGCAGGGAAGAAGCGAGAGUGACGGUACCUGCAGAAAAAGCGCCGGCUAACUACGUG
rnacentral:rRNA from 1 species